AGCGAACGCUGGCGGCAGGCUUAACACAUGCCAGUCGAGCGGGCCCUUCGGGGUCAGCGGCAGACGGGUGAGUAACACGUGGGAACGUACCCUUUGGUUCGGAAUAACGCUGGGAAACUAGCGCUAAUACCGGAUACGCCCUGUUGGGGAAAGGCUUGCUGCCGGAGGCUCGGCCCGCGUCUGUUUAGCUUGUUGGUGGGGUAAUGGCCUACCAAGGCUAAGAUAAGUAGCUGGUCUGAGAGGAUGAUCAGCCACACUGGGACUGAGACACGGCCCAGAAUCCUACGGGAGGCAGGAGUGGGGAAUAUUGGACAAUGGGCGCAAGCAUGAUCCAGCCAUGCCGGGUGAGUGAUGAAGGUCUGAGGGAUGUAAAGCUCUUUUGUCCGGGACGAUAAUGACGGUACCGGAAGAAUAAGCCCCGGCUAACUUCGUG
rnacentral:rRNA from 1 species